CUUGUUAAGCAGUCAGUCAACAUUUAUUUCCUUAUCAUCAGGGAUCACUUUUCCAUUUGCAGUAGGAUUACAUGAGCGCAGGUCUGUAAAUCAGAUUACAUGAGCGCAGGUCUGUAAAUCAGAUUACAUGAGCGCAGGUCUGUAAAUCAGAUUACAUGAGCACAGGUCUGUAAAUCAGAUUACAUGAGCGCAGGUCUGUAAAUCAGAUUACAUGAGCGCAGGUCUGUAAAUCAGAUUACAUGAGCGCAGGUCUGUAAAUCAGAUUACAUGAGCACAGGUCUGUAAAUCAGAUUACAUGAGCACAGGUCUGUAAAUCAGAUUACAUGAGCACAGGUCUGUAAAUCAGAUUACAUGAGCGCAGGUCUGUAAAUCAGAUUACACGACCACAGGUUUGCAAAGAGAGCAAAUGUAUAGAUUAAUUAAUGUUUAUACAUUAUUUAACAUUUUAAUAUUAAUUUUACUUUUCUCAUUCGGGAAACCAGGGUCAUAUGGAACAAGACGAGUGCCCUACAAGAUCCCCAAAUACACCCUCCCCUCAACCCCCUACAACAGCCCCAAAUACACCC